GGGUCCUUGGUCUAGAGGUAUGAUUCCUGCUUUGGGUCACUAAUGCAGGAGGCCCCGGGUUCGAUCCCCGGAGGACCCC
rnacentral:tRNA from 1 species